GGUUGACCUCGAAUCAGGUAGGGAUACCCGCUGAACUUAAGCAUAUCAAUAAGCGGAGGA
rnacentral:rRNA from 1 species